GAUGAAGGAACGCAGCGAAAUGCGAUACGUAAUGUGAAUUGCAGAAUUCAGUGAAUCAUCGAAUCUUUGAACGCAUAUUGCGCUCUUUGGUAUUCCGAAGAGCAUGCUUGUUUGAGUAUCAGUAAACACCUCAACCUCUUCUUGAUUUUUCAAAAGGAGGGUGGACUUGAGCUAUCCCAACAACCUUUACCGGUCGGCGGGCGGCUUGAAAUGCAGGUGCAGCUGGACUUUUAUCUGAGCUAAAAGCAUAUCUAUUUAGUCCUCGUCAAACAGGAUUAUUACUUUUGCUGCAGCUAACAUAAAGGAUAAUUGUCCUCUUUGCUGACUGAUGCAGGAUUUUACGACACUUUAUGUGUUGUUCAACUCGAUCUCAAAUCAAGUAAGACUACCCGCUGAACUUAAGCAUAUCAAUAAGCGGAGGA
rnacentral:misc_RNA from 1 species